GUAUUUUUCACGCUUGACUGGUUCAGUCCAUGUUCCGCACUCGAGGAAUGAGGAACCAAGUACAGAGACAAAAGUGAACAUAAUAAAGCGGCUUCCAUUUUCCAUUUGCUUUUGAGUUUAUUGCCGGCUUACAUUUGACGUAAUCUACCGAACUCCAAAGCCUAAGUUCCAAGACGGUAUCGAGGGGGCGUUUAGCAAUUCAGAUUAUUAUUUUUUCGACGACGGAGGCGACCGCUACUUACGCUUGAAGUGUCGCAUUUUGGAGGGCAGCCGUCCUCUCAACGCGCGGAAGUGAAAGCAGCGAACUGCGCGUUGUCUAUGAAACGUAAGUACAUUAUUUUGUUUGACGCAUUCAUUACAUACCAUUUCUUUCACUUUUCGCCUCGGGAAGCUUCGUUACUAGCUAAACAAUACAUAAUUAGAAUUAACGUAGCUAUUUCGAUUAUUCAGUAAUGUGGUAAAUGUUCGUCUUAUUUCUCCGUUCUGAGGCAUGGCUGCGAACACAAGCACAAAACGAAGGCAAACAGUGACCGUGGCUUUCGUAGACGUAGUCCAAGGUGUGAUUUUUUAAUAAGGCUUAAAACAGAUACCGGUCUACCAAACCAAGGCAGCAUACCACUGCGCCUGCACGGUCGCUGAUGACCAGUUUCGGCAGAAUUUACCUAAGCCUACUCCGAAAGACAUAGAUGUUGACAAAUCAUAAUUUCCUUGACAAUGGAAGUCGUACAUUCCACAUCAAAACAGUUUAAUUCCACUUACUGCUCAACUUGACUUCUAUUUCCCUGGUCAGUGUGACUCGACAAUAACGUCGGACAUCUCGAACGCAUAUUUCUAUCGACGAUAUGUGUAAACGUGCUAACGAAGUAUCGCGACAUGUGUACCUCCCAUCCCGAAAAAACGCUAUAAAGUAAACGGAGAAAUGAAAGUGGAAGGACUGCAAUAGCAAAACGUUUUUUUCUGCUGCUGAAAGCGAGCCUGAAAAUUGAGAGGAAAUGGU